AUUGAACGCUGGCGGCAGGCCUAACACAUGCAAGUCGAGCGAGCGGCGGACGGGUGAGUAAUGUAUGGGGACUGCCCGAUAGAGGGGGAUAACUACUGGAAACGGUAGCUAAUACCGCAUACUAUCGGAUAACCCAUAUGGGAUUAGCUAGUAGGUGAGGUAAUGGCUCACCUAGGCGACGAUCCCUAGCUGGUCUGAGAGGAUGAUCAGCCACACUGGGACGGAGACACGCCCCAGACUCCCGGGGGGGCAGCAGGGGGGAAUAUGGCAAAAUGGGCCAAAGCCUGAUGCAGCCAUGCCGCGUGUAGGAAGAAGGCCCUAGGGUUGUAAAUUACUUUCAGUCGGGAGGGGUUACCGACAGAAGAAGCACCGGCUAACUCCGUGCCAGCAGCCGCGGUAUAC
rnacentral:rRNA from 1 species